rnacentral:lncRNA from 1 species
UUGUCUUUAACUAGAAAACUUAAAGCAGAUGCAGAGAAGCUAAAAGAGAUAUUCUGUAGAAGGGCUUAAUUUAUUAACUGAAAGUGGUGUUCCUUUUAUAGGCUUACAAGCUCGUAGAGAUAAUAUCUAUCCAUAACACCCACUUGACUAAAAUCUAGGAAAUGACCAGAAAAACAGCAACCAAAAUAGAAAAAUAGCAACUGACCUAAAGACUCUGUCAACUCUAGUAAAACACUUAUUCAACUCACAGUAAAUAACUUCAUCCAGCCAAUAAACUUAAAAGAGUAUUUGAAUCAGUUCCCAACACCCCCCCCCCCCCCCGAUUCAAAAUCACAUACACCAAGGCAUAACAUAAAGUAAUUGUGUUUUGCCGGAGGAAGUGAUUUAGUAAGAAUAUCUGCUGCUUGCUCUUCAGUGCUGCAGUGCUUCAACUCAAUCAGCCCCUUUGCAACUAGUUCACGAAUGAAAUGAUGUCGAAUGUCUAUGUGCUUCGACCUUCCAGGAAACACAGGAUUUUUGGUCAUUGCAAUUGCUGAUAAAUUGUCACAAAAGAUUUUUGUUGCUUCCUUUUGCUCUUGGUAAAGAUCUGCAAGUAUCUUCCUUAGCCAUAAUGCUUGACAUGAUAAUGACGUUGCUGCAACAUAUUCUGCCUCUGAAGAUGACAACGCCGUUGUUGCUUGUUUCUUUGAGCUCCAAGUAAUAGCUGCAGAACCCAAAGUAAAAAAAUUCCCAGAGACACUCUUCCUAUCAUCCAAAGAUCCUGCCUAGUCACUAUCCGAAAAUCCAUAUAAAUUAAAACUAGAACAUCGAGAGUACCAUAAUCCUAAAUCCAUAGUUCCAGCAACAUAGCGCAAGAUUCUUUUAGCUGCUCCAAGAUGAUGCUUUGAAGGUUUAUGCAUAAACCUCGAAAUAACUCCAACAGAGAAUGAUAUAUCAGGACGGGAGUGAGUCAAAUAAAUCAGGCCUCCAACUAAGCUUCUAAAAUAGCUUCCAUCAACUUUUUCAGUACCAUCUUCAAGUUGCAACUUCUCAUUUACGUUCAUAGGAGAUGGCAUUAUUUUGCAAUUAAGCAUAUUGAACCUUUUUAGCAAAUCAAUGGCAUACUUCCUUUGUGAAAUGAAAACUCCAUCUUCUCCUUGCUUUACUUCAAGUCCAAGAAAAUAGUGCAACAAUCCCAAAUCUGUCAUUUCAAACUUAUUCAUCAUGGAAGAUUUGAAAUCGUAUAUAAUAGAGUACGUUGAGCCCAUAUAUAUCAUAUCAUCAACAUACAAACAUACUAACAAAAGAUCAUUUUUUUAUACUUCUUCUCAUAUAAAGUUGGUUCAUUCUUACUUCUUUCAAAUCCAUUUUCUCUAAAAUAAGAGUCGAUUUUGUUGUACCAUGCGCGCGGAGCUUGUUUAAGCCCAUAAAGUGCUUUCUUCAGCUUGUACACUUUGUUUUCCUUUCCUUUCUCUACAUAGCCAUCUGGUUGGGCUACAUAGACUUCUUCUUUCAAGUCACCGUUAAGGAACGCAGAUUUAACAUCAAACUGAUAAACUUUUCAUUUUAACUUUACAGCCAAUGCUAAAAGGAUUCUUACUAUUUCAAAACGAGCAACUGGAGAGAAAGUUUUGUUAAAGUCAAUACCUUGUUGCUGCGAAUAUCCUUUUGCUACCAGUCUGGCUUUACGUUUCUGCACACUCCCAUCAACAUUUUAAUCCUAUAACAUUUUUGCCGUCUGGAAGAUCCACCAAAUCCCAUGUUCCAUUUUUCCUUAUUGCCAUAAGCUCUUCUUCCAUUGCACACCUCCAUUCCUUUUUUGUUGAAGCUUCUUCAAAGCUCGCUGGAUCUGCACCAAAUAAAGCAAAAGUACAUGUUUCAUAAAUAUCUGCAAGUAAUGUAGUUUUCUGUGGAGGAGUCUCAUCAGAAUCUUCUAAGUCGGGCACCAUCAAUGUUGAGCUGCUUCCAACUGGACUGAUGUUACUAGAACUUUUUGAACAGUGGCUUGGUGUAUUAACAAAAGGCUGACUUUCUACUUCACUAGGAAAAACUUCAUCUUCCAUUACAACUUGUGAAAUUUUACUAUUGCUUUCCCAUUUCCAACAUGAGUUUUCAUCAAAUACCACAUCUUUCUUGAUAAUCACUUUGCCAUUUGUGGGGUUAUAUAAUCGAAAAGCUUUGGACUCAGAGCAAUAUCCAAUAAAGAUGCACUUUUCAGAUUUUCCAUCAAGCUUUUGAUGAUGUUGAGAAUUUAUUAAAGCAUAUGCAAUACAACCGAAAAUUCUCAAAUGACUUACCCACGACUUUCUACCUUUCCAAGCUUCAACUGGUGUUUUACCCAUGACUACUCUUGUAGGAGAUAUAUUGAGCAAAAAUUACAGUAUGAAUAGCCUCAGCCCACAACUGAUUCGGAAGAUUCUUGCUCUUCAGCAUGCUUCUGGCCAUCUCCACUACGGUUCGGUUCUUUCGCUCAACAAUUCCAUUUUGCUCCGCAGUGCAAGGUGCAGUCAAUUCCCUGUGAAUGACAUUAUCUUGACAAAACAACUUAAACUCUUGAGAUACAAACUCACCUCCUCUGUCUGUACGAAGAACCUUAAUUUUAGUACCAAUUUGGUUCUCAACCAAUGCCUUGAAUUUUUUGAAGUUUGCAAAAGUUUCUGAUUUGAACUUCAAAAAAUAUACCCAACUCAUACGACUAUAAUCAUCUGUGAAUAGUAUAAAAUAUCGAGAACCAGCAAGUGAUUGCGUAUUCAUAGGGCCACACGGAUCUGCAUGAAUAAUUUCAAGACAACUAGUAGCUCUCCAAGAUUUUCCUACAAGGAAGGAUUUUCUGUGUUGCUUGCCAUAUAUACAACCUUCACACAUAUUUUCAACAGAUUUUAUGUUUGGCAAACCAUGAACCAUCUUAUGUUGACUCAACAACAUCAAUCUAUUCAUAUUCAAGUGUCCAUAACGUAAAUGCCAUAACUUAGAUUCUUCAAGAUUUAUUUCACUAACAACCAAUGCUUGUUCUAAUUUUGAAAUUUCAAGAGGAAACAUUUUGUUCUCUGUCAUAGGAAUACUUGCUAAAAUUUGACCCAUUUUUUAUUUUUAAUAACACAUAAUCCAUUAUCAAACAAGACAGAGAAUCCACUAAUCAAUAAUUUCUCAACACUUAGCAAGUUAUGAGCCAAACUAGGAUCAAAGAGAACAUUUUGAAUAAGUUUUACUUUACCUUGACUCGUUUGGACAGCCACAGUAUCUUCACCUUCAACAUGUAUUUCCUUGUUAUCUCCAAGCCAAAUUCGCCUCCUUUUUGUCUCAUCUAACUCUCUGAAUGCUGACCUUUCUCUAGACAUGUGAUGAGAGCAGCCACUAUCAACAAACCAAAUACCAAUCUUAUGAUCCAUGAUAGUAGAGCGAGCCAUAAAAAGCAUGCAUUCUUCUUGUUCUUCAUUUGCAUAACUAGAUUGAUUGUUUUUGUACCAGCAGUUAGCUUCUAUGUGACCAAACAUGUGGCAAUUGUAACAUUGCACUCCAUUUCUACCACGUACGAAUUGUCCUCUACCUCUACCACGUCCUCUUCCUCUAAAAGCACCUCUCCCACCACGUCCUUGUGUACUUUGCUCUAGCAACUUCUCAUUCUGAAUUGGAGAUUCUUCCUUAACUUGAAAAGCUUGUUCUUCAUUCUUCUCAAUCGACUUGUUGAUUUGUGACUCAUGAGAUUGCAAAGAGCCCAUUAGUUCAUCAAACGAAAACACAGAUAAGUCUUUUGAUUCCUCAAUGGCUGCAACCACAUGCUCAAACUUUGGAGGUAAACUUCUUAAAACUUUUGCUACUACAGUUUCAUCACUUACCUCUUCACCAUAUGAUUUCAUUUGACUUACAAUCCCAGUAACUCUUGAUAAAAAGUCUUGCACAGAUUCAUUAUUUUUCAUGAACAAUGUUUCAAAAUCGCGGCGAAGAGAUUGUAUUUUUACAGUAAUUACCUUUGAAGAACCUUGAAACUCCUUUUUCAAAAUCAGCCACGCUUCUUUUGAGGUUGUUUCUGCUACAAUUCUUGAGAAAAUCAUCUCAUGAACAGCUUGCUAAAUAAAGAACAAAGCUUUGGCAUCCUUCUUUCUGACUUUAUUUAAUAUUCUCUCAUCCUCUGCAUCCGGCUCAUCCACAUCAACGAACUCAUCUUCAACUAAGUCCCACAUUUCUUGAGACUUAAACAAGGUCUUCAUUUUGAUACUCCAAAACUCAUAUUUCUCGCCAUUGAAGACGGGUAUGAGUGGUUGUGAAGAAGAGGAAAUAGCAUUUGCUGCCAUACCUUUUUGUUUUUCUCGUAUUUCACUCCCUCACGUGUUUCUCUCCUUAUCCCUCUAUCGCCCAGUCGAAGACCGAACGCAGGCUCUGAUGUCACAAUGUAGAAAAAGAGAUUGUCUUUAACUAGAAAAAUUAAAGCAGAUGUAGAGAAGCUAAAAGAGAUAUUCUAUAGAAGGGCUUAUUUUAUUAACUGAAAGUGGUGUGCCUUUUAUAGGCUUACAAGCUCGUAAAGAUAAUAUCUAUCCAUAACACCCACUUGACUAAAAUCUCGGAAAUGACCAGAAAAAAAGCAACCAAAAUAGAAAAAAUAGCAACUGACCUAAAGACUCUGUCAACUCUAGUAAAAGACUUAUUCAACUCACAGUAAAUAACUUCAUCCAGCCAAUAAACUUAAAAGAGUAUUUGAAUCAGUUACCAACAAUCUCCAUUUCCCUUCUAACAAUCCCUCCAACUCCUGCUUUACCUAUUGUCAUCAUACAUCUGCCAGCAGAGUUCAAUUUUCAAUUAUCUUCCUCUAGGUUAGUCCAAGUGGCCAUGAUGCUUCGCAGUCUGGGUUGGUAAUUAUCCACAAUGUGGAUGAUAUCAUUCCAACACCAUUCUUCUUCCAUUCUGUUAGAUUUCUUUCCAAUAGCAGUUUUAUUAGAAAUACUAUUUGUUGGCAUAUUCUAGUAAUGGUUGUAGUCUUCUGGUUGUACUUCUUUGUCCAUCUACCCUUCCAAAUCUCCCAUCUAG